rnacentral:misc_RNA from 1 species
UUUCCGUAGGUGAACCUGCGGAAGGAUCAUUAUUGAAACUUGAAUCGUAGCAUCGAGAACUGUUGCUGACCUGUUAAAGGGUAUGUGCACGUUCGACGUGUUGCGUUCUAUUCAUCCACCUGUGCACCUUUGUAGACUUGAUUAACUUUCGCUCUUGAGCGGUUAGAAGAGUUGCUUUCGAGCUCCCUUUGUCUAUCAAGUCUAUGUCUAUAUAAUCUCUUGUAUGUCUAGAAUGUCUUGUUAUGGGACGCAAGUCCUUUAAAUCUUAUACAACUUUCAACAACGGAUCUCUUGGCUCUC